CUGCGACGGGCGCGCCCUCGUGGUCUUACGUGGUCGUGCGUGACGUGCGCCCCCCAGCGGGGACGCAGAGGGCGGGAGCGCGGGAAAGGCCGCCUGCUGGGCGGCGGCUGAGGUGGACGAGGUGCCCGCCCCGCAGCAGGGAUUCUCAACAGGGCUAAGGCUGGAGACACCGUUGGUUAUCUCGGUUGUCACAACACUCCCUGUGCAAGUCCGCGGCUUUGAUCAGGGUGACAUGGAUAUGCAUGAAGAUGAGGACCUACUCGGUAUCCUUGACUAUUUUGUCUUCCAAGCAUCGGAUCAGGGUCCACAGCAAUCUGUAGAACCACUGCACUUGGGGAGUAAAGUGUAGAAUUCCCCUCUGUUGCCUGAACUGUAGGGGUCUCUGGAGAUCUACCAGGGAUCCACCAAGAGCUCAAAAAUCACAAGGCAAUGCCUCAACCCUAAUCAUCAAUCAGACUGUGUGUACAUCCUACAUGUCAUCAAGCAUGGCUAGAAGGGACACGUUAGGGUUGCCUUCCCCAGAGUGGGGAAGAGUGAGGCCAUGCUUGACAGCGUUUCUAUAAACACUGUCUUGGGCUCAAGGACAGGAUCCUUGUACGUGUGCCCCAGAAUGGCAACAGUCUGCUCGCAGUGCUUGAUGAGCCUCGAGAAUCAGGAAGGUGGGGCCUGGAUGUGUGUGUGUGUGUAGGGACGUGACUGAGGAAAAUGGGAACAUUCCCAUACCUUCCAACCAGCUGGCUCGUCCUCCAUUUGUAUUCUUUCUUCCUCCUUACUUACCAAAUCCAAACGACUUCCUCCCUUUCUGCUUCAUGCCCCCAGGCAGAGAGGCUGCACUUGGGCCACGGAGAGCAGCGUGAUGACCCCCUACCCUAGCAGUGUCAUCACACUGGGCUCCUUGAAGACUUGGAAAGAGGGCCUUUCCUUGCCUUGGGUGCCCACGUCAGAGGGAGACCUAUUUGUCACAUUUAAAGUUUGCUUUCCGGGGGCUGAUUUCCACCCCGGACAGCAGGUUCUGAAGUGGAUUUUCCCUGACCUCACGCUGCGCCCUGCCCGGGCCACGAGCCAAGGCGGCGGCACUGCCUGCUGCAUACUCCCACCUGGUGUGAACACCAUCCCAGACGUGGCGCCACCAGAAGGGAGCACUUGGCGCUGAAGAGCAGACACGUUGGAGAGAAUAAGCACCCUGGGUUCGGAGAAACAGAGACCAGUCUUCUCAGAGGACGUGCAGCCUGUGGCCUAAUUAACUUUCUCAAGUUGUACAGAAACAGCCUUUUUUUUUUUUUUCCAGAAACAGCUUUUUAAGAAAAGUUUCCCUUCUCAGAGAAGAUGGUUAUCCUGCUGGCCCGAUGGAACACACCCUUGAAGACGGGCCUGGCCAGCAGAGGGCCCGGGCCUGAGGCCUCCCCCCGUGGCCUUGGGAUGCGGCCUAGAGAUGUGAAGACCACAUACAAGCACCUACGGGCUCAGGUUCUGGAGGGCAAACACUGUCACGGACGUUGUUUUAUAGGCGGACAGCUGUUAGAGGUAGUAGAUGAAACCCCGAGGCAGUGUUAGGCUUACUGUAGCUUACAUGGACUGUGUGUAUAUGAGACAUCAUCUUUAAAAAAAAAAAAAAAACAAAUAGAAACUGUAGUAUUUAUAGGUAAAGGGCUUUGGUAUACGCAGCUUGCCCUUUAAUGUUUGGGCAAAAAUCUAUGUCUCUAUGCAUCUGUCCGUACAUAGAAUGCAUGUGAGUGGUGAGCAGGAAGAUCCAAGGGACAACUGAUUACAAGAGGGCGGAUCGGAUCAUAGGUGCACUCACGCAUCUCUUCGUUAGGUUUUAUGUUAUCCCAAAAUUAAAAUGACAACUUGACCCUGUCUUCCUCUUAUCAAGAGGCACACAUCAUCUUUUAAUUAUUUUAAUAUUUUAUUAUGAAAAAUGUUAAACAUGCACAUCACAGGAAAGAACAGAAGGAAUUAUGAUCCACCUCCUACCUUAAAAAUUACUGUCAUUUUGUCAUUUGUGAUGAUACCUUUUAAAAAAAGGGAAGCAGUCCAGUUGGACUUCCUGUCUCCAUCUCUUGGAGGCUGUGCUCAGCCCCCCGGGGCCCAGCUCUCUGACCCUCUAGAGCUCUCCCAGUCCUUCAUCACUUGAGGAGCACCCUUCCCAUGGCGGGCGGCGGGUGCUGGGCUUCUGAGGCUCUGGGCAUGGGUUGGCCUUGUUGUUUAGUCAGUUCCCAGCUCUGGUUUUAAUGAAUUUCCUACACAGAACAUGCAAGGAGGUCAUCGGACAGGAGUAAUUUUCAUGCACAACACUAGAAUCCUUUAGUCCCCUGCUAACUGCAAGCCUUCAAAAACCAAAACCAAAGUGAGCAACUGGGAAUGUGGUUAAAACUUCAGAUCUGUGUAUAUAUACUUUCUAACAUUGAUAAGGAAAUGGAUCAGUCCUGACACACAUCUAAAAUAAGAAUAUGGGAUUCCAGCUGAACAUCAUUGAUGGAACACAUCUUUUACCUUUUUUCUUUUCUAACAUACAAGUGAAAAGAAAUGAAUCCUGGAGGUUGAUAAGAGUGGAAGGAGGGGGGCACUGGAUGGGAUGAGCACUGGGUGUUAUGCUAUAUGUUGGCAAAUUGAACUCCAAAAGAGAGAGAGAGAGAGAGAGAGAGAGAAUGGAAGGAGACAGAAGAGAUUUCACCAGUUUGGGGAGAUGGAAAUUAGAUCGAGGAAUGGUCACUAACUUAGUAGACAGUGGUGUUACCUACUUAGGUGCCCGCAGGGAGGGAUUCGAGAAGCAAACAAUAUCACUCUGCUAAUCUCAGUAGACUCAGGAUUUGCAGGCCCUGGAGAAGGAAAAAUGUGGGGUAAGGCAUAAAUUGUUGCUGAGGGAUUCAUAGAAAGUCUGUGAUCACAUCCCUUGCGGUCGGUGGCCUCUGCCUUGUGCAGCCUUCUUUAUCUCUACUCUCUCCCUACCAGCCCUCUUUACCCAUGCCCACGUUACCAGUGGGAGCAGGCUAAUGCACCCUUAAAUUUAAUCAGAUUAGAGACCCAAUUCCAGAAAACCCAGGAUUGAUUCAAAGAACUCAGCCUUACAUUUUAUUUCUCCAGGACCAUCUCUGGUACUAAAUUCUGUAUCUUUCAGCAUUUGCCAAAGAAGCAUAACUAGUGGUGUGCAUAAUUGUGUGUGUGUGUACAUAUACACACUUUUACAGGCUUACACAACUAUGUGAGCCGGCUAAACAUGUCCAAAAUUUGUAGGGCAGAAAUGGAAGAUCAUGAGCCGACUGGAAUGGGAAUGAAUGGAAAGAAGUGUGCUGUCUAUGGCCAGUUAGGAACAGGAGAAUACGAGUGCGGCUUGAGCUUCCUCAACCAUGUCGCUCAACCGAACAGCUGCAAGCUGGGAAGUGCUGCGGAAGGCUAAUGUUGGGCAAACGGCCACUGUCAACGUGGUGAGCAUCAUCCACUAGAUUUUAUUUUAUCGAUAUCAUUAGAAUGAUUAGAAUGAUGAAUUCAACUUAGAGGCGGGAAGGAACACUCCUUCAAAAUCCUUAAUCCCUUCUCUGGAAUGAGUAGAUGACCCAAUAGCUUGUCCAGGGCUGGUCAUAGGCAACGAUAUGUUUGAUUAUCAUGACUACUCUUUAUCGAACACCUGCUAUAGGCCAUCUGACUGAUUGCUCACAUUUCCCCAUGACUUAGGAGAAGAGGCGCUACUUGCCUUUGUUCCUGAUUAUCUUCAAGGGUACCCAUACAUACGCGUACCCUAUGACCCAACAAUCCUACCCCUAGGUCUUUACCCGGGACAUAUGGAAACAGAUGUUCAUCCAAAAACCUACUCAGUCAGAUUUACAGCCCAUUAUAAAAAAGUCAAGCUCACUAAACUUGAAGCUCCUCUUUUGUAGUACAAGCCACUGCACGCAUAGGUGACAUCUGGUUUUCUUGGCACACACAUCCUGUGUAUCAGGACUCAGGAAACCAGUUUUGAGUGGCAAGAGAAGGUAAAAGUAGUUAAGAGCUUUGUCUCUAGCCUUGGACUAUCUGGGCUUACGUCCUAACUCCAUCACCAAAUAGCUUCCACGAGAGGGGGAUAGGGUUAGGCUCAGUUGUCUUGCCCUAUAAUCCCGAGCAUAAAGACUAAUGAGGAAAUAUGACUUAAUAAUUUAAUAUGAGCUGAAUUAUCGAUUUAAAUGAAUAUGCAAAUUAUCAGGAUCCCUAUUGUCAUUUGUAGGUGUUCUCAUAGAAAGACUGGGACUACCUGAUUUUUAAGUAUUUCUUCUAGCUCUGAAGUUUUGCAAUCAAGUGUUUUGACUUUUUACACUGUGCUUCCUUUAUUUGUCUCUAAAAAUCAAAGGUGGACCAGGAAAUCCUAUGACAAGUGAGGUCUAUGAGCUAAGAGCAUUGCAAUAGAUCUGCCCUAGGUACCCCUCUAACCCUCCGGUUAGGGAAAAGUGCUAAUAAAACAGGAUCAAUUUGCUCUUGGAUGGGCGAUACACAAGAUGAUAAAACUGUUUCUGAGGAUGUAAUGUCUGCGGUUCUGUUGGAUUCCUGAUUGAUGCUUGGGUCUUAGAGGAAGCCUUCCUCUUCUGACCUGUAUUGGCUCAUGUCAGCUAAGAAUUGACUUAAGGUCCCUGAAGUCAACAAAACAAAAUUUACAUAAGGCAAAAUGAAGUCAUCAGUUUGAAUUUAAAUAAUGUGUUUUAUUGGAUAUGAAGAUUUAGGGAUCUAAAUGUUUAUUCCACGUACCUAGAACAACACCCGGUGUGUAGUAGGAGCUCAUACAUUUUUGUCAAAUCAUGAAUGAGUGAAUAUUGAUAUAUAAGGAUAUCUUUGCUAAGUGGAAAACAGUUUGAUCUCCUUAUAACUGUAUAUUUAUUUUAUCUAGCUACCUAUCAUCUACCUUUUUAUGAUAUUCAAAGUAAAAAAAUCAAAAAGU